rnacentral:tRNA from 1 species
GGGCCUGUAGCUCAGUUGGGAGAGCGCUGCGUUCGCAUCGCAGAGGUCAAGGGUUCGAAUCCCUCCAGGUCCA